ACUUGGUUCCGUAAGAGCAAAUCACCACAUACGUGGAAAGCUCCAGAGUUGUUAGCUUUAUUUUCAAAAAAGUAAAGAAAACUCAGACAGUUGCUUAUCAAGUACACACAUAUAUACCUUUGGAUAGCUCUUUAAAGAACAAAUCGGACUUGAAAUUACACUUCAUUACAGAAUUUGAUUUUCAACAAGUUAUACUUUGUGGUAUCAACAAUACUUCUGUUUUGAAUGUCCUCAUUAUUAAUUGAUAUUUACUCCUUUAUUCCAAUAGAUAACUUGUUUAAACUACCAAAACGAUUUUGCUAUUAUAACAAGUACAAGCAAUGCCUUCUAUAACGAUGGUUGAAAUGCAAUUCCUGUUCUAAUCUCUCUUUCCAUAUGCACAGAACUUUAUCUAGCAAAUUCAUCUUGGGCUGAAAUCAUUGACGCUUUGCCUCAUCCCAAAAGUGAAUUUAUUUUAUAAACAGCAGCAAAAUUGGUUGAGUAUUUCUGCGGAGGGUUGAAAAAUCCAUUUGCUUAAUCAUUAGUGACAAGCAGAACGCUGUCCCUGGUUCGGGAUGAAUCCUUAGUCUUCAAUUUCUGCAGAACGGGAACUUGUUGUGUCAACUGGUUGUGAAGAUAACCUUCCAAAUGUAAAUGAAUGCGGUGCUGUCUUCCUGAGACUAUAGACACAUGCUGCCUGAGCACUGCUGAUGCCACUUAUAGCUUUUCCAAGCAGCUGAAGCGUGACAUUGACAUGAUCCCUGUCCUUUUUACAGUUACUAUUCAGAAACAGGUGGAUAGCUGCUGAUGCUGACCGGAACUUGGGUUAAUUUCACUCUGCUGCUGCUUGGGAAAGCUGUAAUCAGCAACAGAUGUAAGGAAUAGCAAUUGACAGGGGAAGAGGACCCAAAAGAAGCUGGGACAGGAGAGCACCUGACACUCCCAACUUUCAAACACCCAGUAGCCAGGGGCUGAUAUGAAAGCCCUGAACUUGGGAACCAGCUCCUUUCCAGCUGGGAAUGGAGAGGGCUGGGCUUUUUACUAGUUCUAUUCGGGGGGAAGGGGCUAAGCCAGCCAUUCAUAUUUGGUUUGGCCUCUUGAUAGCAGAUGCUGGGAACCCUUUGAAGCCUUGCUUUUCGCAGACACCCUGAUCUUAAAAUUGUGAAUGUUUAAAGUCAGGCAACGAGAAAUGCGUGCCUUGGAACGGUUCUGUGAAUGCACCUGUUAAUGAUGUAUUCUGCUGCUAAUGCUUGUCGGUUCCUCAGGGAAUGGAGCCCUGGAUAUUUUCUAUUAAAAAAACAAAAA